GCAAUAAAUAGCUUGGUCAGAAAAGCAUGAGACUCUUUAUCUCAGGGUUGUGGGUUCGAGCCCCACGUUAGGCU